rnacentral:rRNA from 1 species
UACGUAGGGGGCAAGCGUUGUCCGGAUUUACUGGGCGUAAAGAGCGUGUAGGCGGCCAAGCAGGUCCGUUGUGAAAACUGGAGGCUUAACCUCCAGACGUCGACGGAAGCCGCGUGGCUAGAGUCCGGAAGAGGAGAGUGGAAUUCCUGGUGUAGCGGUGAAAUGCGCAGAUAUCAGGAAGAACACCAAUGGCGAAGGCAGCUCUCUGGGACGGUACUGACGCUGAGACGCGAAAGCGUGGGGAGCAAACAGG